rnacentral:rRNA from 1 species
GACGAACGCUGGCGGCGUGCUUAACACAUGCAAGUCGAACGAUGAAGCCGGAGCUUGCUCUGGUGAAUUAGUGGCGAACGGGUGAGUAACACGUGAGUAACCUGCCCUUGACUCUGGGAUAACUGCGGGAAACUGUAGCUAAUACCGGAUACGACCCUCGGAGGCAUCUCCUGGGGGUGGAAAGAAUUUCGGUCAAGGAUGGACUCGCGGCCUAUCAGCUAGUUGGUGAGGUAAAGGCUCACCAAGGCGACGACGGGUAGCCGGCCUGAGAGGGUGACCGGCCAAACUGGGACUGAGACACGGCCCAGACUCCUACGGGGGGCAGCAGUGGGGAAUAUUGCACAAUGGGCGCAAGCCUGAUGCAGCAACGCCGCGUGAGGAAUGACGGCCUUCGGGUUGUAAACCUCUUUUAGCAGGGAAGAAGCGAAAGUGACGGUACCUGCAGAAAAAGCACCGGCUAACUACGUGCCAGCAGCCGCCGUAA